rnacentral:lncRNA from 1 species
CUAGACUUGUAUGGACACCUUUCUUGGCCUAUCAUUAGUACCCCAUCUGGGGGAGUAAAUGUUUGUUUGUGCCUCCACUGGAAAAGUUUCUAGGACAAGGUCAUAGAAGCACAUGUUCAAUCGUUAUGGCUGCCGAAAGGGAAGCUGGUUUCUUCAGAAGUAGCCAUGGAUCAUCUACAUGAAGAUGUCAGCUGGACACAUCACUCUAAGGAAAACUGCACACAUCAACUUCAUGCUCUAGCAGCCUUUGACCAUCCAAUGGAGCGCCAGAGCCAAGAAAAACCACAAGAGAAAAAUAGGCAUUCACAGUACCAAGAAGAGUCUUCAGUACAAUCACUACAUAGGCUGCAUUCGAGAGCUGACUCGCUGAGGUUGAUAUUUAAAAAAAGUAUUUGGACUACCGUGAUAUAUAAGCCCUUCCUUUCUUUGCAACUGCCUCAGCCACACAACACUCCUCUGAACUCCC